rnacentral:pre_miRNA from 1 species
GGUCUCUGUGUUGGGCAUCUGUCUGCCCGCAUGCCUGCCUCUCUGUUGCUCUGAAGGAGGCAGGGGCUGGGCUUGCAGCUGCCUGGGCAGAGUGG